CUGACAGUACUGGAGACUGAAGUCUGAUUAUCCAUAGACCAGGCAGCAGCCAUGUCCUUUAUUCUACACUGCCCUGCCAAUGUGCUUCAGCUUUGACCUGGAGGGGAUCACCUCUAGGAACUAAGUGAGUAGUUCAGUCUCCAUGUCCAGUCAGACCUUGGCUCUC
rnacentral:sRNA from 1 species